UGGGGAAUAUUGCACAAUGGGCGCAAGCCUGAUGCAGCCAUGCCGCGUGUAUGAAGAAGGCCUUCGGGUUGUAAAGUACUUUCAGUCGGGAGGAAGGUGGUAAGGUUAAUAACCUUAUCAAUUGACGUUACCGACAGAAGAAGCACCGGCUAACUCCGUGCCAGCAGCCGCGGUAAUACGGAGGGUGCUAGCGUUAAUCGGAAUUACUGGGCGUAAAGCGCACGCAGGCGGUUGAUUGAGUCAGAUGUGAAAUCCCCGGGCUUAACCCGGGAAUUGCAUCUGAUACUGGUCAGCUAGAGUCUUGUAGAGGGGGGUAGAAUUCCAUGUGUAGCGGUGAAAUGCGUAGAGAUGUGGAGGAAUACCGGUGGCGAAGGCGGCCCCCUGGACAAAGACUGACGCUCAGGUGCGAAAGCGUGGGGAGCAAACAGG
rnacentral:rRNA from 1 species